rnacentral:rRNA from 1 species
AUUGAACGCUGGCGGCAGGCCUAACACAUGCAAGUCGAACGAGUGGCGGACGGGUGAGUAAUGUCUGGGAAACUGCCCGAUGGAGGGGGAUAACUACUGGAAACGGUAGCUAAUACCGCAUAACAUCAGAUGUGCCCAGCUGGGAUUAGCGAGUUGGUGGGGUAAAGGCUCACCAAGGCGACGAUCCCUAGCUGGUCUGAGAGGAUGACCAGCCACACGGGAACUGCGACACGGUCCAGACUCUUACGGGAGGCAGCAGUGGGGAAUAUGUCACUAUGGGCGAAAGCCUGAUGCAGCCAUGCCGCGUGUAUGAAGAAGGCCUUCGGGUUGUAAAGGACUUUCGGCAGGGAGGCGUUACCCGCAGAAGAAGCACCGGCUAACUCCGUGCCAGCAGCCGCGGUAAUAC